CCCAUUGGCGGCAGCUACACAUGCAGUCGAGCGGUAGCACAGAGAGCUUGCUCUCGGGUGACGAGCGGCGGACGGGUGAGUAAUGUCUGGGAAACUGCCUGAUGGAGGGGGAUAACUACUGGAAACGGUAGCUAAUACCGCAUAACGUCGCAAGACCAAAGUGGGGGACCUUCGGGCCUCAUGCCAUCAGAUGUGCCCAGAUGGGAUUAGCUGGUAGGUGGGGUAACGGCUCACCUAGGCGACGAUCCCUAGCUGGUCUGAGAGGAUGACCAGCCACACUGGAACUGAGACACGGUCCAGACUCCUACGGGAGGCAGCAGUGGGGAAUAUUGCACAAUGGGCGCAAGCCUGAUGCAGCCAUGCCGCGUGUGUGAAGAAGGCCUUCGGGUUGUAAAGCACUUUCAGCGGGGAGGAAGGCGAUAAGGUUAAUAACCUUGUCGAUUGACGUUACCCGCAGAAGAAGCACCGGCUAACUCCGUGCCAGCAGCCGCGGUAAUACGGAGGGUGCAAGCGUUAAUCGGAAUUACUGGGCGUAAAGCGCACGCAGGCGGUCUGUCAAGUCGGAUGUGAAAUCCCCGGGCUCAACCUGGGAACUGCAUUCGAAACUGGCAGGCUAGAGUCUUGUAGAGGGGGGUAGAAUUCCAGGUGUAGCGGUGAAAUGCGUAGAGAUCUGGAGGAAUACCGGUGGCGAAGGCGGCCCCCUGGACAAAGACUGACGCUCAGGUGCGAAAGCGUGGGGAGCAAACAGGAUUAGAUACCCUGGUAGUCCACGCUGUAAACGAUGUCGAUUUGGAGGUUGUGCCCUUGAGGCGUGGCUUCCGGAGCUAACGCGUUAAAUCGACCGCCUGGGGAGUACGGCCGCAAGGUUAAAACUCAAAUGAAUUGACGGGGGCCCGCACAAGCGGUGGAGCAUGUGGUUUAAUUCGAUGCAACGCGAAGAACCUUACCUGGUCUUGACAUCCACAGAACUUUCCAGAGAUGGAUUGGUGCCUUCGGGAACUGUGAGACAGGUGCUGCAUGGCUGUCGUCAGCUCGUGUUGUGAAAUGUUGGGUUAAGUCCCGCAACGAGCGCAACCCUUAUCCUUUGUUGCCAGCGGUUAGGCCGGGAACUCAAAGGAGACUGCCAGUGAUAAACUGGAGGAAGGUGGGGAUGACGUCAAGUCAUCAUGGCCCUUACGACCAGGGCUACACACGUGCUACAAUGGCAUAUACAAAGAGAAGCGACCUCGCGAGAGCAAGCGGACCUCAUAAAGUAUGUCGUAGUCCGGAUUGGAGUCUGCAACUCGACUCCAUGAAGUCGGAAUCGCUAGUAAUCGUAGAUCAGAAUGCUACGGUGAAUACGUUCCCGGGCCUUGUACACACCGCCCGUCACACCAUGGGAGUGGGUUGCAAAAGAAGUAGGUAGCUUAACCUUCGGGAGGGCGCUACCACUUUUGAUAAUGGUCG
rnacentral:rRNA from 1 species